GGGGUUGUGGCUCAGCGGUAGAGCACUUGCCUAGCACAUGCAAGGCCCUGGGUUUGAUCCUCAGCACCACA
rnacentral:tRNA from 1 species